GCUCACGAGCGGACGACUGUUCGGGUACCUGGCCCGUCGUCCCGGCAACCGCGCCACACCGCACGGUGCCCCAGGGGAAGAGCCGGCACGCGAAAGCGUGCAAGCGGUGGAC
rnacentral:ncRNA from 2 species